GAGUAACGCGUAUGCAACCUGCCUAGUAACUGGGGGAAUAGACGUCCCUGAAAGGGGAAGUUAACACCGCAUAACACUAUUGAUUCGCAUGGAUUGGUAGUUAAAUGUAGCGAUACAGGUUAUAGAUGGGCAUGCGUGACAUUAGCUAGUUGGUGAGGUAACGGCUCACCAAGGCUACGAUGUCUAGGGGUUCUGAGAGGAAGGUCCCCCACCACUGGUACUGAGACACGGACCAGACUCCUACGGGAGGCAGCAGUGAGGAAUAUUGGUCAAUGGGCGCAAGCCUGAACCAGCCAUGUCGCGUGCAGGAAGACUGCCCUAUGGGUUGUAAACUGCUUUUAUAGUAGAAGAAACACAUCUACGCGUAGAUGUCUGCCAGUAUACUAUGAAUAAGCAUCGGCUAACUCCGUGCCAGCAGCGGC
rnacentral:rRNA from 1 species